rnacentral:lncRNA from 1 species
CUCAUUCUAAAUCUUCACUUCUUUUCCCUCGAAUCUGUCCCAAAUUCUUCGAAUCUCAAAUCAAAGAUCUGAACCCUAAAAUUCCAAAACCUAAAUCAGUGUGCCUUUUUGAGGAUUUGAAGUCGAAAUUGGUUUUAUUCAUGUGUUUUCAUUUGAGAACACAUGAUUAAAACCAUUUCGGUCAAAAUCGAAAGUUCAAGGAUUGAAUUCAAGUUUAGGCCCGUCCAGUUCUUUAGGUACUUCUCAGUCUCUUUUCAUUUUUCUUGCAUGUUUCUUAUUCUUUCUUUUAAGAACAUUUUCAUCUUUUUUUUCUGUUUUCUCUUUUCUUUUCUUAUGUGUUCAUCUUUUGUUUGUUUUGGUUGCAUAAUUAGCCUAAUGACGAGCUUAGCUUAAUGGCUUUGUUAAUCAGUUUAUGUCCCUUUUUCUUUUGUUUUGGUCUAUUUUUUAAAAAAGCUUGCUGGUUUUUCUUGUUGGAAAUUCUGUUUAGCCCAUUAAAUUUUGAUUGUUGAUUGGGGCUCGAAUUAUGUUUUGAAGACAGAGAGCCCAAGAGGGGAUUCAACAUGGGUUAUAUAGACCCACACCAAAUUGAGUUGGGUCAAUUUGACCCAUAUUCUAUCUUGCUUCAGGGUAAUAACGGGGGUAUUGAAGGGUAAAUUAGGAAGUCUAGGUAGAGAAUCUCUGAAUAACUGAUUGAGGAAGCUUCCUGGAAACUGGGGUGGGGAUUAAUGUGAAAAUCUAUUUUUUAACUUAGGGAUAUCUAAGCAAGAAUGAAAAUAUCAAAAGGGUAGAAGUGCAAAUCUGAAUUCUUUUAGGCUGCCCUGUUUCUUGCCUAUAAAGGCAUCAUUUCUUGCCUUUCAAAGAAAAAAAAAGAGCUGAAAAGAAGAAAAGCUCAGAAAAAUCACAGACAGUUAAAAAAAAAUUUGAAAAAAAAACACACUGUUCCAUUGAACUUCCUGCUUUGAAACGCUGAGGCUUUCAAUUCCUGAGGCAAUUUUGCUUUAUUUUGGGGUUGAAAUGGAUUAAGUUCGAGUCAAAAAGUUUAGGUUUGAUUUAUGCUGGGUUGUUGUUCAACAGAAAUUGGCUUUGGGACUUUUGCACCUCAUUUUGGGUUUGAAAGCUGAGUUUGGGUUUGUUCGUGUGGAGUACUGUAUAGUUUGGGUUUCAGCUUGAAUUCCCUGAGUUUAAUUGGCUGACUCU